rnacentral:misc_RNA from 1 species
AUUGGUUUUCGCUUUCUCUUCUAUAAAAGGAGAGAAAGACACCAAACUCCUCUCCAUUAAUCUUCUUUCAGAUUUCACCUUACCCACAACAUUCAUGGCUUCCAUCAACAUUUCUUUCCCUUCAACAACAUUUCACAGUCGAUCACAAGCGAACUUCAAGUUGUUCAGUGGGUUGCAUUCUGGAGAUGUAGUUUCUCUUAAUGGGGUCUCGUCAGGGUCAUUCAUACGGCUUAAUGCUAGACCACACUUAACCAUCAAGAGUGAUUUCAAGAUUACUUCUGCAUUGUUAUCUGGUGAAGGAGACAUCCGAUUUCAAUCCAGGGGAGAAAAAACUCUGUUUAGUAGCCUCUCUACAGGAACUGAGACUCAACCUGAUGCUGUAACCUUUGCAACGCUAGAAGCAGAUGGUGUUCCUACAACUAGUGGUUUUCUUUCAGAUGACGAUGAAUGUGAUUUGGAUCGACCGACCGAAGGUUUUUCAUCUGUUCCUGAGGCUAUUGAGGACAUUCGCCAAGGAAAGAUGGUGCUAGUUACAGAUGAUGAAGACAGAGAAAAUGA